CAAGCUUCAUUUCCGCCACCGCCAACACAACCUCCUCCCAACCUUGACGGAUUUAUGAGAUUUGUUAGAAAUACAACAUAAAUUAUGAUGUAACUUGUACAUUGCCACGUCUUCUUUUAGUUUUUUUUCCUUUUAAUGGCGGUAUUAGUACCUUGUUGUGCUCAUUCCAUUGGGGGAAGGAAGACUAAGAAAGAUAUGCC
rnacentral:lncRNA from 1 species